rnacentral:tRNA from 1 species
GGUAAAGUGGCCGAGGGUAAGGCGGCGGGUUGUAGCCCCGAACACAGAGGUUUAAGUCCUCUCUCUACCA